AAACUUGCAUCAAUAGCAAUCAACAAACACAUAUAUAAUAUUAUAGGGUUAUUGCAUGAAUAUUGGGGAAUAUUGUCCCGAGUAGAAUUUUAUAUUGCACGAGCUUGCGAGUGCAAUAUAUGUUCUACGAGGGACAAUAUUCCCCAAUAUUCAUGCAAUAACCCUUUUAUUGUAUAGCAAUAUAAUAUUUUAAAGUAAAACUUGGUUUAAACUAAGAUUUAAACGUUGAUGACGUCAUGAAUUUUGAAGAUUUAUUGCACUAGUGCAAUAUUAGAAUUUAUUGCACGCUAACUUUUGGUUACGUUCUGUGGGAAAUAUUAUAUUGCUAUACAAUAAAACAAGAAAUAGUAUAUCUGCUGUCUAAAUAAGGGUCAGUUUAAUUGAAUUGAAUGCUUCUAUUUGACAGAAGCAAAUUUUGUAUGAAGCACUUAAUUUCUAAAAAUGUAUGCAUGGUCAAAACUUUUACCACCCUAUGAAAUUACUAAAAGAAGCAUUCAAUACUGAUAAUAACAUUUUUUGGUAGGAUCAUGAAAACAAGAUUUCUAUCAAGUUUUUCUUUUUAACCUGUGCACUUUAAUGUGGAAAAACAUGUCACCAUGAAUUUUACAAUUCAUUUUGCAAUGAAUGUUGAUUUCAGAAUUACACGAGAAUCCUGUUAGCCAAUCAUAAUAUCUUAUCAUAAUGAAAUAUGAAAUAUACAUGUAAUGAAAUUAUUUUAAAUUACUCUCUUCCCUGGCUCCUAAUUUUCACUCUUGACAUAAAAAAUAAACAAAUGAGUAUGAGAUGUUAGUGGUAUUCAUUUCUGUUAGAUUGAAUUAAUGUGAUACUGAAUCUUAAAAAAAGAAACAACCAUAGAAUCAUUACAAUUGUAAAUGAUUUUUUUCCUGAACGGCAAUGAAACAUCAUUAACAAUUAUUAUUGUUUAAUGCAUGGUUACUGUGUGAGAGAAGACGAAAAUUAAAGCACUUCUGGGCACCCAAAGAAAAAGAUUGCUUUUAUUUUACAAUUUUGUGAAUUUAAAAUAAAACAUUGAAUAGUAUAAAUUUUAGCUAUGUAAAUUACAAAAUUGAGUUAAGUUAUCUUUCUUUAUUCUUGAGAAUACAUUUGUAGUUGAACCUAUUUUUAUCACAAUUUCAUACUUAUAUAAAUUUGAAUAACAAACAUUCUGCUUCAGAGUUCAGUUAUUUAAAUACAAAUCAUAUUUUUACUUUAACAUCAAAGUAUAAUAUAUCAUUGAUAAAUUGCUUAACAUUUAGGGGGGUUAAAAUCUAAAGAAUGAUAACUCCAUAGCACUAUGUCGUUUGAAACUAUGUAAGGUAGUGAUAAACCUUGGAAGAUUUAGAUAUUAUGUCAAAACAAUAAAGUUUUGAUUGCAUUUCAUGCAAUCUUUACCCCAAAACUUUUUAUUCUAAAGUAAAGCUAUUCUUUCAAAUCUAUGACUUUAAAUAAUGUAUGAAAGCAUUAAUGCCCUUCAAACUUAAUAUCAUAAAAAAAACAAUUUCUAUAAUAUUCCAAAUCUGAUUAUAUCUUUUACUGACUUCUUACAUGUUUCAGCACAAAAAGAAAAUCAAAGCAUGUUUAACAUGUUAGUAGUGUAUGGACAGUCACACAAGCAUUGUGUACAGUGUCUUGAGCACCAUGGAAUGAAUUAUGUACAUCAUGUAAUGAUAAAAAUUUGCAGAAAACUUUCAACAUCAUUUUUUUACUAAAAUCAAGAAUAAUUUCAGAUCAUAAUUUAUGGCACAAGCAAGUAAACUAAGUUGAGCAAUAAUGGAUUUAAGCUCUCAUAAAGAUUAUAUAAUUCAACACCUCAUAUGUUUAACUAAAUCUAUAGAAAGCACUUUAGAAUGAAACAUCACAGUUUACAAUGGUUUAGGUAUAUAUAAUUUACAAAUUUAUCUAUACAUAUAAAGUCAAUAAAAGAAGAUAUUUAGGAUGAACUUGCAAAUACACGAUCUUCUAACUGGUGCCUAUUCCCAGAAAAAUUUGAUGUUGUAAAGAAUCUAUCUUUACUUCAAAAUGUUCAAUGACAUGGUUUUUCCCUACCCCUUUUUGAUCCUGAGUCAACUGGGGCAGGUAGUUUAUAAAAUCGAAAUUGGAAAACUGCCUGUAAUUGACUCAACUUUUAAAUAAUUUUUCAAUAAAACCACUUUUUAUAUAUAGUUAAUGCUAACAGUACUCUUUAUCUUUCUACAAUUAAGGAACUUUUUUCAACUCUCAUACUAUCAUAAUAACAACUUUUUUAAUCAUUAUAACAUGAUCAGUAUCAAUUUUUCUGCACCAGAUGGGCAUUUUUCGUCAAUCAAUGUCCCUUCAGUGGUACUCAAAGGCCAAAAUAUUAGAAAAUCGAAAGUUUAUCUAAAAGAUGAAGAGCUAUAAACCAAAGGGGAUAAAAAGGUAUAGCCAAAGAUUUUCUUGAAGUGAACCUGUAUCUGCAUUCUAUUUAAAGAAUGACUGUAACAUUUUUUCUGUCUAUGAAGAGAUAACAUCAAAAUGUGGUGCACACUGAAUAAC
rnacentral:lncRNA from 1 species